rnacentral:rRNA from 1 species
GGAUGAACGCUAGCGGGAGGCUUAACACAUGCAAGUCGAGGGGCAGCAUAAGGUAGCAAUACUUUGAUGGCGACCGGCGCACGGGUGAGUAACGCGUAUGUAACCUACCCUGUACAGGGGGAUAGCCCGGAGAAAUUCGGAUUAAUACCCCAUAAUGAUAUUGAGAGGCAUCUUUUAAUAUUUAAAGUUUCGGCGGUACGGGAUGGGCAUGCGUGACAUUAGCUAGUUGGUAGGGUAACGGCCUACCAAGGCUGCGAUGUCUAGGGGUCCUGAGAGGGUGAUCCCCCACACUGGUACUGAGACACGGACCAGACUCCUACGGGAGGCAGCAGUGAGGAAUAUUGGUCAAUGGGCGCAAGCCUGAACCAGCCAUCCCGCGUGCAGGAAGAAGGCGCUAUGCGUCGUAAACUGCUUUUCCAGGGGAAGAAAACCUGAUACGUGUAUCGGCUUGCCGGUACCCUGGGAAUAAGCAUCGGCUAACUCCGUGCCAGCAGCCGCGGUAAUACGGAGGAUGCGAGCGUUAUCCGGAUUUAUUGGGUUUAAAGGGUGCGUAGGCGGAUUAAUAAGUCAGUGGUGAAAACCUUCAGCUUAACUGGAGACUUGCCAUUGAUACUGUUAGUCUUGAGUACGGUCAAGGUAGGCGGAAUGUGUAAUGUAGCGGUGAAAUGCUUAGAUAUUACACAGAACACCGAUUGCGAAGGCAACUUACUGGGCCAUUACUGACGCUGAUGCACGAAAGCGUGGGGAGCGAACAGGAUUAGAUACCCUGGUAGUCCACGCCGUAAACGAUGAUCACUCGCUGUUAGCGAUACACAGUUAGCGGCUAAGCAAAAGCAUUAAGUGAUCCACCUGGGGAGUACGGCCCGCAGGCUGAA